rnacentral:rRNA from 1 species
GACGAACGCUGGCGGCGUGCCUAAUACAUGCAAGUAGAACGCUGAAGGAGGAGCUUGCUUCUCUGGAUGAGUUGCGAACGGGUGAGUAACGCGUAGGUAACCUGCCUGGUAGCGGGGGAUAACUAUUGGAAACGAUAGCUAAUACCGCAUAAGAGUAGAUGUUGCAUGACAUUUGCUUAAAAGGUGCAAUUGCAUCACUACCAGAUGGACCUGCGUUGUAUUAGCUAGUUGGUGGGGUAACGGCUCACCAAGGCGACGAUACAUAGCCGACCUGAGAGGGUGAUCGGCCACACUGGGACUGAGACACGGCCCAGACUCCUACGGGAGGCAGCAGGAGGGAAUCUUCGGCAAUAGACGGAAGUCUGACCGAGCAACGCCGCGUGAGUGAAGAAGGUUGUCGGAUCGUAAAGCUCUGUUGUAAGAGAAGAACGAGUGUGAGAGUGGAAAGUUCACACUGUGACGGUAUCUUACCAGAAAGGGACGGCUAACUACGUG